GCCGUCGUGGCCGAGUGGUUAAGGAGAUGGACUAGAAAUCUUUAAAAAAAAAGACGAUGAAAAAAAAAGGCCAUUGGGGUCCUCCCGCACAGGUUCGAAUCCUUCUCGACUGCG
rnacentral:tRNA from 2 species